UUCCUGGCAGUCCAGUGGUUAGAACUUAGCACUUUCACUGCAGAGGCCCAAGUUCAAUCCUCGGUCAGGGAA
rnacentral:tRNA from 1 species